rnacentral:lncRNA from 1 species
CACGGAGCUGUGGCUGCCUCCACCAUACUCCAGCUGCUGGGGAUGUCAGGGACACUGGGGACCAGCCAGCAGUGGUAGCACUUCACCUCUUCACUGCCUCAUGGCUUCAUCACCGUGCAGAAAAACAGGAAGGUCUGGCUCAGCAGCCCACCCCCCUGCAUGCGGAGUUCCCAGGAACGUUGACCAUCAUGGCGACACACACGACCCUCCAGGUCAGCUGAAUCCCGGGAAUUCUGGUGGAACUGUGCACUGCGGGGGUGACAGUGGAGGUGCCUAGAGAAGUGCAGGCUCUGCGGCAUCUGCAGCGACUACAAUGGUGCCACCAGCAGAGCCCAACGGGACGCAGGAUGGUAACGAGUGAUGCAUGGGUCCUGGCUGAGGCCUGGCAGCGCCCGACAUCACCCAGGUGGGUGACACCAUGGGGACACUGGGGGAGGGAGGACUGG